rnacentral:rRNA from 1 species
GAUGAACGCUGGCGGCGUGCCUAAUACAUGCAAGUCGAGCGAACGGACGAGAAGCUUGCUUCUCUGAUGUUAGCGGCGGACGGGUGAGUAACACGUGGAUAACCUACCUAUAAGGCUGGGAUAACUUCGGGAAACCGGAGCUAAUACCGGAUAAUAUUUUGAACCGCAUGGUUCAAAAGUGAAAGACGGUCUUGCUGUCACUUAUAGAUGGAUCCGCGCUGCAUUAGCUAGUUGGUAAGGUAACGGCUUACCAAGGCAACGAUGCAUAGCCGACCUGAGAGGGUGAUCGGCCACACUGGAACUGAGACACGGUCCAGACUCCUACGGGAGGCAGCAGUAGGGAAUCUUCCGCAAUGGGCGAAAGCCUGACGGAGCAACGCCGCGUGAGUGAUGAAGGUCUUCGGAUCGUAAAACUCUGUUAUUAGGGAAGAACAUAUGUGUAAGUAACUGUGCACAUCUUGACGGUACCUAAUCAGAAAGCCACGGCUAACUACGUGCCAGCAGCCGCGGUAAUACGUAGGUGGCAAGCGUUAUCCGGAAUUAUUGGGCGUAAAGCGCGCGUAGGCGGUUUUUUAAGUCUGAUGUGAAAGCCCACGGCUCAACCGUGGAGGGUCAUUGGAAACUGGAAAACUUGAGUGCAGAAGAGGAAAGUGGAAUUCCAUGUGUAGCGGUGAAAUGCGCAGAGAUAUGGAGGAACACCAGUGGCGAAGGCGACUUUCUGGUCUGUAACUGACGCUGAUGUGCGAAAGCGUGGGGAUCAAACAGGAUUAGAUACCCUGGUAGUCCACGCCGUAAACGAUGAGUGCUAAGUGUUAGGGGGUUUCCGCCCCUUAGUGCUGCAGCUAACGCAUUAAGCACUCCGCCUGGGGAGUACGACCGCAAGGUUGAAACUCAAAGGAAUUGACGGGGACCCGCACAAGCGGUGGAGCAUGUGGUUUAAUUCGAGGCAACGCGAAGAACCUUACCAAAUCUUGGCAUCCUUUGACAACUCUAGAGAUAGAGCCUUCCCCUUCGGGGGACAAAGUGACAGGUGGUGCAUGGUUGUCGUCAGCUCGUGUCGUGAGAUGUUGGGUUAAGUCCCGCAACGAGCGCAACCCUUAAGCUUAGUUGCCAUCAUUAAGUUGGGCACUCUAAGUUGACUGCCGGUGACAAACCGGAGGAAGGUGGGGAUGACGUCAAAUCAUCAUGCCCCUUAUGAUUUGGGCUACACACGUGCUACAAUGGACAAUACAAAGGGCAGCGAAACCGCGAGGUCAAGCAAAUCCCAUAAAGUUGUUCUCAGUUCGGAUUGUAGUCUGCAACUCGACUACAUGAAGCUGGAAUCGCUAGUAAUCGUAGAUCAGCAUGCUACGGUGAAUACGUUCCCGGGUCU